GGUCUGUCAGAACCUGCCGCAGAAAAUAUCGAAUGUUUACAAACAGAUACUCAAAAACGUAAAGGGCUCGGGAAUUGUCUGGUCUCUUAUACGCGAAUUUUCUUCAAGUGAAUAUGGACACAGAGAAAACGGAAGUAAAGUACGGGAUACAGGUGUCCGAGCGGUCCCCCCGACACUCGUGGGACAUAGUGGCGGCGUUUGACAUCGGGACGAGCUACUCGGGGUACGCCUACAGCGACAGGAAAGAAAUGGACCUCAAGUCCGUCUCCUUCAACCAAUGGACGGGAAAUAUGGUGUCGGACCCAAAGGCUAAAGCCCCAACGACUGUGCUGUUCGACAAAAACAUGAGAUUUCAUUCGUUUGGUUAUGAAGCAGAGGAUUUCUACGCUACUCAAGUCUGUGAGAAGAAAAACGACGAUUGGUAUAGAUUCAAAAAUUUUAAAAUGGUUUUAUACCGGGAAAAGGUUAGUAUGAUUCAAAGAACCUUGUUCGUUCAGUCCAUGUUUAAACAUUUCGCUUGAGUGACAGUUCGAUUAUUUUGUAUGUCUCUUUCACAGAAUGUACAACGAGAUUUGAAAAUUUCGGAUGACUCUGGAAGAUCGUCAUUGCUUGCGUCAGAGGUGUUUUCGCAGACCAUCAAAUCCCUCAAAUCCCACUUUGAGAACACCGUCAGGGAAAGGGCGCUGCAGUUUGAUUCGGGCAAUGUUCUCUAUGUCGUCACAGUUCCCGCAAUUUGGAAACAGUCGGCAAAACUUUUAAUGAAGGAAGCUGCAAUGCAGGCCGGAAUUCCAGAGGCCCAGCUUCUGAUUGCUUUGGAACCGGAAGCUGCCGCAAUGUACUGUAAAUCACUUCCGGAACAAACAUUGACGGACACGUUCAAACCACACAAACGGUACAUGGUGCUGGAUCUGGGCGGUGGAACAGUCGAUGUUGUUGUGCAUGACGUGUUAGAAGAUGGCGGCCUGGCGGAAGUUUAUAAAGCGUCUGGAGGUGAUUGGGGCGGAACGAUGGUAGAUCGCGAGUUUGAAAGAUAUAUUCAAAAUAUAUUCAACAGCGAAACGUGUUUAAAAGAGCUAUGGAAUUUAUCUCCAAGGGACGCCUAUGAUUUAGAGAGGGAGUUCGAAAUGCAGAAAAGACAGAUCAGCAACAAGGCUGCCGACAUUCGUCUGAAGUUACCCGCGCGGUUACAACAGGUCGGGAAGGUGCCUGUGACGUCAUCAAUAACGUUCGACCAUAUAUACGUUCAGUAUCCUAAAUUUAAGGAAUUCUUUGAGAAUCCCAAAAACCGAAUUAUAUCGCUGAUAAAAGACAUUUUGAAUGAGGUGGGGCGAUUGGACCAAAUCAUCCUGGUCGGGGGGUUCUCCAGUUCUCGAUAUCUUUACGAUCAACUUAAGAGCCACAGUGACAUUUCCGGCAUCGAUAUUUGUUGCCCAAAAGAACCUGGUUUGGCCGUGCUUCAAGGAGCAGUGUUGUUUGGGUACAACCCCGAGGAUGUUCGGUACAGGAUCUGUCGGUAUACCUUCGGGUUCGGUGUUCUGCAAGACUUCGAUGAAUCCAUACAUCGGGCGGACAAGCGAGAUAAGGUUGAUGGUGAAGAUGUCUGCAAGGAUGUGUUUGAUGUUCUAGUAUACGAGGGAGAAAAAGUCAAAUUCGAUGAUCCAAAAUUUGCCACCUCCAAAAGCAGUCACAGACAAGCUGAUAGGAAGCAUAUUCCAAUAAAGAAGGAACUGUUUGCUGGGAAAAACAUCCCCCAAGAUAGAACUGUGUAUGUUACUGAGGAAGGCAUUAAGCCCUUAGGGAAAAUCAUAAGUCAUGCCCCUAAAGAAGGGUGGUCAAACCUUGUAGAAUUCAAAACUAAAGUUUACUUUGGACAAACUGAAAUUAAAAUAGAAGACUUUGAUAUUACUAACAAUGUGACUGUUAACGUUGAAAUUGAUUUUCUGUGAUACAGCAAACUUAUAAUAACUGUCAGGUUAUUGGAGUUCAAUUACUACAUUAAUACUCUUUGCUACAACUACUGUACAAUUACUACUACCUCUAUUUGAGUUAUUACUUCCUCUUGGCAGCCAACCAUGUACAUACAGAGUGCGACAGUUAAGAAUUUACGUUGGAUACAAUGAAAGAAAAGUAAAUUGAUACAGCAAAAAUUGGUAUUUGUAAGUUUAACUCUGUUUUGAAUAAUACUGAGUGAUGCAAUUUUUUUUGGUUUUACUUUGUUACUGUAGCCGAUAGGAACAACUGCUCUAAAAUAAAAUCAUAUUUGUAAGUGU
rnacentral:misc_RNA from 1 species